rnacentral:misc_RNA from 1 species
GAAAUGCGAUAAGUAAUGUGAAUUGCAGAAUUCCGUGAAUCAUCGAAUCUUUGAACGCACCUUGCGCUCCUUGGUAUUCCGAGGAGCAUGCCUGUUUGAGUGUCAGUAAAUUCUCAACUCCUCUAGUUAUUGUGACUCAGAUGGAGCUUGGAUGUGGAGGUUUUGCGGGCCCAGCUUACAUUGGGUCGGCUCCUCUGAAAUGCAUUAGCGGAACCGUUUGCGAUCCGUCACAGGUGUGAUAAUUAUCUACGCCAGUGGGUUGCUCUCUGUCUUGUUCAGCUGCCAACCGUCCGCAAGGACAGACUAUUACUGAAAUUUUGACCUCAAAUCAGGUAGGACUACCCGCUGAACUUAA